rnacentral:tmRNA from 3 species
GGGGCCUUAAUGGUUUCGACGUGUUGGCGAAAGCUAACCCGUGAUUCAGGUCGAGAGUGAGUCUUCUCUCGUAAAUACCGGACUCAAAAAAACGUAACUGCGAACAACAUCGUUCCUUUUGCUCGUAAGGCAGCUGCUGUUGCCUAAACACCUCUUACAGGUUCGAGCGUCUAUAGUUUGACUCCGUUAAGGACUAUAGACCAAACCCCAACGGAUGCUCUAGUAAGCUGUCUUUGGUAAGCUUAUUAGCUAAGAAAACCACCAAAGCAUCCUGUCAUCCGGGAUAAUGGAUGGUUCCCGCCCUGAGGGUUAGAGGGGCUAAGCCUGUGAAUGAGCGAUAAGUUAAUACCCAAGGCGGACACGGGUUCGAUUCCCGUAGGCUCCAUAA